rnacentral:piRNA from 1 species
GACUGAGUUGGGAACAUGCAACUACAUGGU